UGCUUGGGGACCAUAGCGAGAUGGAACCACCUGAUCCCAUGCCGAACUCAGAAGUGAAACGUCUCAGCGCCGAUGGUAGUGUGGGAGGUCCCAUGUGAGAGUAGGUCAUCCCCAAGCUU
rnacentral:rRNA from 1 species